GCAGAACUGAAAUUGACUGGUGUCGAUAAUGGACUUCAAAUCCAUUGGCGAUUAGGUUCGCAGAGGUUCGAUUCCUCCUGGUCUGCG